UGGCUCAGAACGAACGCUGGCGGCAGGCUUAACACAUGCAAGUCGAGCGCCCCGCAAGGGGAGCGGCAGACGGGUGAGUAACGCGUGGGAAUCUACCCUUUUCUACGGAAUAACGCAGGGAAACUUGUGCUAAUACCGUAUAAGCCCUUCGGGGGAAAGAUUUAUCGGGAAAGGAUGAGCCCGCGUUGGAUUAGCUAGUUGGUGGGGUAAAGGCCUACCAAGGCGACGAUCCAUAGCUGGUCUGAGAGGAUGAUCAGCCACAUUGGGACUGAGACACGGCCCAAACUCCUACGGGAGGCAGCAGUGGGGAAUAUUGGACAAUGGGCGCWAGCCUGAUCCAGCCAUGCCGCGUGAGUGAUGAAGGCCCUAGGGUUGUAAAGCUCUUUCACC
rnacentral:rRNA from 1 species